rnacentral:sRNA from 1 species
CACAGGUGAACAGGAUGUGUUUGUUCAAUGUGUUUUUGGAAUGCACGUGUAAAUAAAAAUGACUGUGUUAUACUUCAAAUAUUCAUCCGGAAACUCCUAGAGUUCCCUUAGGUUUGGCCAACUGUGCAUUGAAAGUACAACCGGCCCGUCGUGGGGAUUAAUUUUCACUGCACAUUUCUAGGAAGAGGGAGGAGGAGGAGGGGGAAUGUGACAAUCUCGACAACAGUUGCUAUACUCUUACGGAAGUGGUUUUCCUACGUGCUUCUCAACAGAUCGGCCCUUUUUUCAAAGAAGAGCAGUUGGAACAACAAGAGCUGUUUAGUUGUACCCUUGGAAUCCAUGGAAAUCCUGGGUAGGGAGGCUCCAGUACCACCAACUGGAGAGACUGCGGAUGCCUAGUAGCUAGUACUGGCUGUUGUGUAGGCUUUGUCCACUUUGACAAAUUGAAGACGGGGACUCGACUCACCUUCGCCAGCCACGGGAGGACCUCCAGACGAGGACCAGACUCGCCGCCUUUCUUUCCCGUCAGAAAGGGAUCCCUUGCGGACAGGACCGAAUGGCCCCUAAGGCUUCUCUGCAGACCCAACCGAAACAGGCCUGAAGCUCCAGGAGGGCGAGAGGAUCCUCUUUGAGCGAAACCAGCCUUCUGCCUGGCUGGCCCUGGUCAACACACUGGGAAGAGGCCGAUUUGGCGGACAGAAAGGAAGAAAAUACCUAAAG